GACGAACGCUGGCGGCGUGCUUAACACAUGCAUGUCGAACGGUGAAGCGCCUUCCUUUUUGGUGGGUGUGGAUGAGUGGCGAACGGGUGAGUAACACGUGAGUAACCUGCCCCCUUCUUCUGGAUAACCGCAUGAAAGUGUGGCUAAUACGGGAUAUUCUGGGUCUGUCGCAUGAUGGGUCUGGGAAAGAUAUUGUUUCGGUGGGGGAUGGGCUCGCGGCCUAUCAGCUUGUUGGUGGGGUGAUGGCCUACCAAGGCGGUGACGGGUAGCCGGCCUGAGAGGGUGGACGGUCACACUGGGACUGAGACACGGCCCAGACUCCUACGGGAGGCAGCAGUGGGGAAUAUUGCACAGUGGGCGCAAGCCUGACGCAGCGACGCCGCGUGAGGGAUGGAGGCCUUCGGGUUGUGAACCUCUUUCGCCAGUGAAGCAGGCCUGCCUCGUUUGUGGGUGGGUUGACGGUAGCUGGAUAAGAAGCGCCGGCUAACUACGUG
rnacentral:rRNA from 1 species